rnacentral:misc_RNA from 1 species
UUUCCGUAGGUGAACCUGCGGAAGGAUCAUUACAGAGUUCAUACCCUCACGGUUAGAUCUCCCACCCUCGAAUAUUAUCCCUUCGUUGCUGUGGCAGGCCGUGGAAACACCAGAGGAUCCGGCUGAUGCGUGCCUGCCAGAGGAAACAAACUCUGUUUUUAGUGAUGUCUGAGUACUUUAUAAUAGUUAAAACUUUCAACAACGGAUCUCUUGGUUCUG